rnacentral:tRNA from 2 species
GGUCGAGUGGUGUAGUGGUUAUCACGUCUGCCUCACACGCAGAAGGUCUCGAGUUCAAUCCUCGGUUCGACCU